rfam:Roseburia sp. CAG:182 genomic scaffold, scf251
UCGGGCAGCCGGGGGAGUAGCGGUACCCUGUACCAGCAAUCCGCUAGAGCUGGGGUGAUAUCCCGCCGCGGGUUUUUGGGCUGUAAAGCUGCCCUUCGCAAGUGGCGUUGAAGUCUGGGUCUUACGCAAUAGGAACUUACGAACCGUGUCAGGUUGGGAACAAAGCAGCACUAAGUAAGAGCUCUUAUGUGCCGUGAGGUCGCCUGGACCGAGCUAACUACGGAGGUAACGUUUGUGGUCCGGAUUCAAAGCGGGAUGCCCGA